rnacentral:lncRNA from 1 species
GUUGUGAUGUUUUAAUGGUUCAUGGAAUCUUGUUACUAAUGUAUUCUAAUAUAUUUUGAUAACUAAUGCAAUGGCCAUUUAUUAACCCAAGUUAAUCAUACGAGUUUCUCACAUAAUAAACUAAAAUAUAUUAACUCAACUUAAUCAUACGAGUUUCUCACAUACUAAACUAAAAUAUAUUUUAAACAUAUGAAAUACAUACGAAUUACAUACGAAAUACAUGAAAAUAACCUAGUACUCACAUAAUAAACUAAAAUAGAUUUUAAACAAACGAAAUACAUACGAAAUACAUAAGAAAUACAUGAAAAUAACCUAGUACAUGAAAAUAACCUAGUACUCAAAUAAUAAACUAAAAUAGAUUUUAAACAAACGGGAUAUAUUUCAAAAUAUUCCAAGGGGCUUCAAACUGGAAUUCCAACCCGUUACUUAAUGACUUGUAUUCCUCCUUAGCAGCUUCCAAGAUGACAUCCUCAGUAGCAUUUAGACGGGUGUCGUCAAUUUUGGUAUAAAGAUCGUUGAAUAAUAGAACUUCGGUUUUCAUUUCAUACCAUCUUGCUAAGAUGUCUAGUUCGUCACGAUCGUUUCUUGUAGCCAUUCGGUUUUCAGCAUUGAAAAUAUUUGUUAGACGGCUCCAAAACAUUGGAUCAUUCAACUUGCUUGUCUCGUACACAUGAAUAUAAGCAUGUGUAAGAACCAAGAACUCUUCAUUGCUCCAUGAUAUAGAAGUCAUUUGGAUUGAAACAAAGAGGGUAGAAUCUAAAAAACAAUAUUUGAACAACUAUAUUGGUU